rnacentral:rRNA from 1 species
CAAACUUGAGAGUUUGAUCCUGGCUCAGAACGAACGCUGGCGGCAUGCCUAACACAUGCAAGUCGAACGAGACCUUCGGGUCUAGUGGCGCACGGGUGCGUAACGCGUGGGAACCUGCCCCUUGGUUCGGAAUAACAGUUAGAAAUGACUGCUAAUACCGGAUGAUGACUUCGGUCCAAAGAUUUAUCGCCGAGGGAUGGGCCCGCGUAGGAUUAGCUAGUUGGUGGGGUAAUGGCUCACCAAGGCGACGAUCCUUAGCUGGUCUGAGAGGAUGAUCAGCCACACUGGGACUGAGACACGGCCCAGACUCCUACGGGAGGCAGCAGUGGGGAAUAUUGGACAAUGGGCGAAAGCCUGAUCCAGCAAUGCCGCGUGAGUGAU